AUGGUGUUGCUUGACAUUAGGGGUAUGUUGCAGUCCAUGGGCAAAGACAUAGCUAAUUUCGCUCUUCCAUGCAUUGACGAUGCGUUCGACCCAAACAAGGGCGAGGCCAGAGAAGUGAUCGAGGAAUCCAACAUCGAUUUUGACAUCAACGGCACUAAAUUGGCAUCGUCGCUAAACUUGGAGCAGAGGGCUGCAUACGAUGAGAUACUAGCUGAUGUUGAACGUGGUGAUGGGGGUGUGUUCUUUGUUGAUGGCCCGGGAGGUACAGGGAAGACCUUCCCGUACAGGGCGCUGCUCGCCAAGGUUUGA
rnacentral:rRNA from 1 species